CACAAAAUUCUCCUCGGGACGUGAAAGACUACUCCGCCACAGCAGUCUUCGUGAUGUUAUUCUUUUGCUGCCCCAUAGGUUUCGUCGUCAGCCUCAAGUCCAAGGAGGUACGCAAAUAUGUGAGAGAAGGGGAGCACACUAAGGCUUUG